GUCAUCUCAAUUUAUUUAAACAGCAGAGAUCUCAUUAAUGUCAGUAGAAAUCUCAAAUGUUGGUAAGAAGACUUUACAUUUUACGGAAGUAUCUCUCCACCUGCGGCGUUCAGGCCGCUGACUUCCACACCCAACUUUAUGAUGUCACUGUGGUGGGUGGCGGACACGCCGGGACUGAAGCCGUGGCGGCUGCUAGCAGUCGGUGCAAACACACUGCUCAUCACACAGAAAAUACAAACUAUCGGUCAUCUAUUGAAGGAGAUUGACACUCUGGAUGGUGUGAUGGGAUGAGCUGGGGACUGGGCCGGGAUUCACUUCUCUAUCCCCAACCGGAGUAAACUGGACCGCCAACGCUAUAGACACUUCAUACAGUCAGAGCUGUUGUCUACAGUCAUAGAGGGGUCUAUGGAAGACCUGUUGGUGUCUGCGGCUGACCCUGAAAAACCAGGAAUACAUAAGUAUAUGGAAUAAGAUUAGCUCAUCAACAGCUUCAUUCAAAACAGCUGUGUUUCCCCUCCCGCUGAGGAACAUGGGAACUGUAGUUCGGGUCCGGGCAGCCAUCUUGGUUUGUAGUCUCCGUGCUGCAGCCACCUAGACGGCACAUACCUCCCUUCUAUGACACACCCUCUCACGAUGCCACAAGGUUACGGGGUACAGUAUGACUUCUGAGGGUCUAUUUCUGGCUGGCCAGAUCAACGGCACCACAGGAUACGAGGAGGCAGCUCCACAGUAUGCUGCAUUCCUGCCUCAAGGACAGAGUGAGACACUGAAGGCUCUGUAACAUCCAGUCUGUAAAACCUAAGAAAUGUGUGGGGAGAUGACCAACUCACCGCAGCACAAAUCUCUUGAACUGUAAUGCCCUUGAACAGCGGUCAGGAUGUGGCCAUACCCCUAGUGGAGUGAGCCUGUAAACCCUCUGGAGGUUGCUGAUGAGAGCUGUUAAAACAUAGCACAAUCGCGUCCACCACCCAAUGAGAAAAGCACUGGCGAGAAAUAGGUUAACCCUUAAGAGAGUCAGACCAUGAAAUAAAGAGCUGACUACACUCCCUUUGGGCUCUCGUCUUUUGCACAUAUGCAGUCAAAGCACGUACUGGACACAAGCAAUGCAGCCUCUCAUCCUCUGCUGAGGAAAAAGGUGGCGGGUGAAAAGCCAACAAGUCUACUAACUGAUCAAAA